rfam:Lupinus angustifolius cultivar Tanjil contig_28870, whole genome shotgun sequence.
AGGUGCGAUCCUUCCAGCACUAAUGCACCAGAUCCCAUCAGAACUCCAUAGAUAACUAUACUUGGGCAAGAGUAGUACUAGGAUGGGUGACAUACUGGGAAGUCAUCGUGUUUCACCUC